rnacentral:rRNA from 1 species
UACGGAGGGUGCGAGCGUUGUCCGGAAUCACUGGGCGUAAAGGGCGCGUAGGCGGCUUCUCAAGCGUGUGGUGAAAGUCCGGGGCUCAACCCCGGAUCGGCCGUGCGGACUGGGGAGCUCGAGUUCUGUAGAGGCGGGUGGAAUUCCGGGUGUAGCGGUGGAAUGCGUAGAGAUCGGGAGGAACAUCAGUGGCGAAGGCGGCCAUCUGGGACAACACUGACGCUGAAGCACGAAAGCGUGGGGAGCAAACAGG